rnacentral:rRNA from 1 species
GCAGCGGAGCGUGUGUUUAAUUCGAUGCAACACGAAGAACCUUACCAGGGCUUGACAUGCUGGAAGUAGAACCCGAAAGGGGGACGACCUGUCAAGUCAGGAGCCAGCACAGGUGCUGCAUGGCUGUCGUCAGCUCGUGCCGUGAGGUGUUGGGUUAAGUCCCGCAACGAGCGCAACCCUCGUUGCUAGUUGCUUUUCUAGCGAGACUGCCCGCAAAACGGGGAGGAAGGUGGGGAUGACGUCAAGUCAGCACGGCCCUUAUGCCCUGGGCUACACACACGCUACAAUGGGUUGUACAAUGGGUAGCAAUGGAGCGAUUCGGAGCUAAUCCUGAAAACGACCCUCAGUUCGGAUUGCAGGCUGAAACCCGCCUGCAUGAAGGCGGAGUUGCUAGUAACCGCAUAUCAGCAUGGUGCGGUGAAUACGUUCUCGGGCCUU